AGAAUCAACGCUGGCGGCGUGCCUAACACAUGCAAGUCGCACGAGAAAGGGGAGCAAUCCCUGAGUAAAGUGGCGCACGGGUGAGUAACACGUGAAUCAUCUACCUCCGAGUGGGGAAUAACCUAGAGAAAUCUGGGCUAAUACCGCAUAACACUUACGAGUCAAAGCAGCAAUGCGCUUGGAGAGGAGUUCGCGGCCGAUUAGUUAGUUGGCGGGGUAAUGGCCCACCAAGACGAUGAUCGGUAUCCGGCCUGAGAGGGCGCACGGACACACUGGAACUGAAACACGGUCCAGACUCCUACGGAGGCAGCAGUGGGGAAUUUUGCGCAAUGGGGGAAACCCUGACGCAGCAACGCCGCGUGGAGGAUGAAAUAUCUUGGUAUGUAAACUCCUUUCGAUGGGGAAGAUUAUGACGGUACCCAUAGAAGAAGCCCGGCUAACUUCGUGCCAGCAGCCGC
rnacentral:rRNA from 1 species